rnacentral:tRNA from 1 species
GCCCCGGUAGCUCAGUGGAUAGAGCAAGAGACUUCUAAGCUUUGGGCCGUAGGUUCGAUUCCUACCCGGGGUACCA